ensembl:lncRNA
GUGCUACAGUUAGUCAGUGUGUUAGUGGAGGUAGAGUCUGAAGAGGUGUGUCUUUAGUCUAAAGAUGUGAAGGCUCUCGGUGGUCCUGAUGUCUUCAGAGACCUCCUUCCACCAUUUAGGAGCAGGACAGCAAAGAGUGGAGAUCUAGUCGAGUGUUUUGCUCUCAGUGAGGAGGAACAAGCAGUUUAUCACAUGCAGAGCGGAGAGUGCGGGUCUGGAUGUCGGGUUGGACCAGGUCCUGGAUGUAAGCUGGACCCCAUCCAUUCACAGCACGCAUCUGUCAGCAUCCUUGGGAAACUCCUACAGUUGUGGAUAGGAUGGAAUGUGCUCCCCAGACACCAGCUGGAUAUCAGCGUGGUGGAGAGCAACUUCUCCACUUCCUCCACCUGCUUCCACCAGCUGAAGCUUCCAGUACAAAGACUACUGCCACUCUGAAAUGGACCUUCUUGCUGCUACUUGUAGGACACUG